AUUGCAGCAAGUCCAUAAUCAGAAACCACUGCGCGACCACUUGAAUCCAAGAGAAGAUUGGACGGUUUUAUAUUCAUACAGACAACACCUGCCGCAUGGAGUUCAGCCACCCCUCGUGCUAUGUCAGCCCCAUAUCUUAGAAUUUGCUCGAGAGUAAGCCUGCCUUCAUUUCUCUGCAUCUCAGAUUGAACAGACCCAGAGCAUCUGUCCAUAACAAGACCUAGACAUCCAUCCACCUUAACCACCCCAUGGAAAGUACAAACAUUUCUACACCACAUGGAAGCUCGCCGCAAGUUCUCCAGCUGCCCUUGUACCCACUCCACCUCCAUAUCCUCCCCCACCUCCACCCUCUUCAGUGCCAA
rnacentral:misc_RNA from 1 species